UCUCAGGUUGUCUCCUGACCUCAUUGCCACA
rnacentral:piRNA from 1 species